AUGGUCAGUUCUGGACACGCUGCUGCAGCCCCGAGGGGUGUGAGGGAGACAGCACCUGGGGUGCAGGGCGGGCAGCUGCUGCAUCACCAGCUCUAUCCCAAGCCCAAGGAUGGCGUCCCAGAGAUGCAGGAGAGCUUUGUCCAGAGAAGGUGCCAGCCUUCAGGGACCCUGCUGGACAGGUCUCCACCCUCUGCCCUUCAAGGGGCCCUACGGGCCUCCGGGGCCUGGUGCCUGGACCAGGUCCCCCUGGGGAAAUUGGGCCCCCUUCCUGAGCCACCAGGGGCCACCGAGCAUCCUCCAGAGGGCCAGCCCUCCUGCAGGAACACCAUGCCCAGCCCCAGGACCCUCCCCCUCAACUCUCCAGCAAGGCUGCUCUGUGGGCGGCCCCUGCACAUGCCCCAGCAGUCCAUGCUUCCCUCUGGCCGCAUCCCGUCCCCCGCUACCUCCCACCUCCACGUUCGUCCUUGCCCAGCUCCUCCCUCUCUCCAGAGCUUCUGCCUGGCAAGGUCCCUCCUGAUCUCAGACCAGCUCCCCCAGCACAGCUCGCCCUGGCCAGCUGCUCAGCGGGAUGGGCUCACACUUCCCUCCCUGCACCAUGAGUCAGAGCCAGCUGGAGAGAUGCCCAGGCCAAAGCAGCCACCAGGGCCCAGUGGGGGCCAGAAGGCUCAGGUGACAGGCCCAGAAUGCCAAGAUAGGCAGGACCCACCUGAGCUGAGGAGGCAGCAGAGCGAGGGAGGAAGAGAGGCCCCAGGUGAACGGAGGGGCUUGUCCAGGCCGGCAGCAUCACCGGAGCCCAGGGCAGGGUCAGCAGUGCUGGCCGUGGCGCCCUCCUCUCAGCCAGGACCAAGGGCAGCCUCCACCAAGGGCCCAUCGGUCUUCCCCCUGGCUCCCUGCUCCAGGAGCACCUCCGAGGGCACAGCGGCCCUGGGCUGCCUGGUCAAGGACUACUUCCCCGAACCAGUGACCGUGUCGUGGAACUCAGGCGCCCUGACCAGCGGCGUGCACACCUUCCCGGCUGUCCUACAGUCCUCAGGGCUCUACUCCCUCAGCAGCGUGGUGACCGUGCCCUCCAGCAGCUUGGGCACCCAGACCUACACCUGCAACGUAGAUCACAAGCCGAGCAACACCAAGGUGGACAAGAAAGUUGAGCCCAAAUAUGGUCCCCCGUGCCCAUCAUGCCCAGCACCUGAACUCCUGGGGGGACCGUCAGUCUUCCUCUUCCCCCCAAAACCCAAGGACACCCUCAUGAUCUCCCGGACCCCUGAGGUCACGUGCGUGGUGGUGGACGUGAGCCAGGAAGACCCCGAGGUCCAGUUCAACUGGUACGUGGACGGUGUGGAGGUGCACAAUGCCAAGACAAAGCCGCGGGAGCAGCAGUUCAACAGCACGUUCCGUGUGGUCAGCGUCCUCACCGUCGGGCACCAGGACUGGCUGAACGGCAAGGAGUACAAGUGCAAGGUCUCCAACAAAGGCCUCCCAGCCUCCAUCGAGAGAACCAUCUCCAAACCCAAAGGGCAGCCCCGAGAGCCGCACGUGUACACCCUGUCCCCGUCCCAGGAGGAGAUGACCAAGAACGAGGUCAGCCUGACCUGCCUGGUCAAAGGCUUCUACCCCAGCGACAUCGCCGUGGAGUGGGAGAGCAGCGGGCAGCCGGAGAACAACUACAAGACCACGCCUCCCAUGGUGGACUCCGACGGCUCCUACUUCCUCUACAGCAAGCUCACCGUGGACAAGAGCAGGUGGCAGCAGGGGAACGUCUUCUCAUGCUCCGUGAUGCAUGAGGCUCUGCACAACCACUACACGCAGAAGAGCCUCUCCCUGUCUCCGGAGCUGCAACUGGAGGAGAGCUGUGUGGAGGCGCAGGACGGGGAGCUGGACGGGCUGUGGACGACCAUCAGCAUCUUCAUCACACUCUUCCUACUAAGCGUGUGCUACAGUGCCACUGUCACCUUCUUCAAGGUGAAGUGGAUCUUCUCCUCGAUGGUGGACCUGAAGCAGACCAUCAUCCCCGACUACAGGAACAUGAUCAGGCAGGAGGCCUAGGGCCACCCUCUGCAGGGUGUCCAGGGCUGCCCAGACCCUACACAGGAGCCAUGGGCCAUGCUCAGCCACCACCCAGGCCACACCUGCCCCCUGACCUCACUGCCCUCAACCCCAUGGCUCUCUGGCCUCACAGUCGCCCUCUGACCCUGCCACACCUGACACACCCCCCUUCCAGACCCUGUGCAUAGCAGGUCUACCCCAGAUCUCCGCUGCUUGGUGCCUGCAGGGCGCUGGGGGCCAGGUGUCCCCUCAGCAGGACGUCCCUGCCCUCCGGCCCGCCAGGUGCUCACACAAAAGGAGGCAGCGACCGGCAUGCCAGGCCCCCACCCACGCAGGAGCUGGCCCUGGAGCCAACCCCGUCCACACCAGCCUCCUGAACACAGGCGUGGUUUCCAGAUGGUGAGUGGGAGCAUCAGCCGCCAAGGUAGGGAAGCCACAGCACCAUCAGGCCUGUUGGGAGGCUUCGGGGAGCUGCGAAGGCUCACUCAGACGGCCUUCCUCCCAGCCCCCAGCCAGCCAGCCUCCAUUCCAGGCACUCCCGUGAACUCCUGACAUGAGGAAUGAGGUUGUUCUUAUUUCAAGCAAAGAACGCUGCUCUCUGGCUCCUUGGAACAGUCUCGGUGCCAGCACCACCCCUUGGCUGCCUGCCCACACUGCUGGAUUCUCGGGAGGAACUCAACCCACAGGGACAGCCAGCCCCAGAGUCUGCACUGGGAAGAGAAGGGGCCAGGCCCAGGACACUGCCACCUCCCACCCGCUCCACUCCACUGAGAUCACUCAGAGAAGAGCCUGGGCCAUGGGGCCGCUGUAGAGCCCCAGAGUGCAAGGGUGAGGAGAGCCCAAGGAAGGGGCAUCUGCCCAGACAGGCCUCCCAGAGAAGGUCCCAGGCGGGCAAGACUCAGCCUUGGUGGGGCCUGAGGACAGAGGAGGCCCAGGAGCACGGGGGAGAGAGGUGGAGGGACACCAGGAGAGCCAGGAGCGUGGACACAGCCAGAACUCAUCACAGAGGCUGGCGUCCAGCCCCAGGUCAGGUGCAGCAGGAACAAGCAGCCACUCUGGGGGCACGAGGUGGAGAGGCGAGACGACAAAGAGGGUGCCCGUGUUCUUGCGAAAGCGGGUCUGCUGGCCACGAGUGCUGGACGGAGGCCCCCACGCUCUGCUGCCCCCAUCACGCCGUUCCGUGAAUGUCACGCAGAAUCUGCAGACAGGAAGGGAGGCACAAGCAGGAGUGCGACAAGUGCCUGCCUCGGCCGUCAGGGAGGACUCCCGGGCUCACUCGAAGGAGGUGCCACAAUUUCAGCUUUGGUAGCUUUUCUUCUUUUACAUUUUCUAAAGCUCAUUAAUUGCCUUUAAUGCUUCUCUUUUUUGAUGACAAUAAAAUAUCCUGUUUAAGUCUUGUA